UGAAGUUAUGCUGAGGAAAAAAAUACCCCAAACAUGGACAGAAGCCUACAUUACACUUAUACCGAAGGAGGAUACAGAUCUGCAGCAAGUUAAAAAUUACAGACCUAUAUCUCUAUUAAAUUCAGACUAUAAAAUCUUUGCUUCAAUUUUGGCAGAAAGACUAAAAAGAUA